AACGAACGCUGGCGGCAGGCUUAACACAUGCAAGUCGAACGGGCCCUUCGGGGUCAGUGGCAGACGGGUGAGUAACGCGUGGGAACGUGCCCUUCAGUUUGGGAUAACCCAGGGAAACUUGGGCUAAUACCGGAUACGUGCGAGAGCAGAAAGAUUAUCGCUGAAGGAUCGGCCCGCGUCUGAUUAGCUGGUCGGGAGGGUAAUGGCCUACCAAGGCGACGAUCAGUAGCUGGUCUGAGCGGAUGAUCAGCCACAUUGGGACUGAGACACGGCCCAAACUCUUAGGGGAGGCGGCAGUGGGGAAUAUUGGACAAUGGGCGAAAGACUGAGCCAUCCAUGCCGCGUGAGUGAUGAAGGCCUUAGGGUUGUAAAGCUCUUUUAGUAGGGAAGAAGCGAAAGUGACGGUACCUGCAGAAAAAGCACCGGCUAACUACGUGCCAGCAGCCGCCGUAA
rnacentral:rRNA from 1 species